rnacentral:rRNA from 1 species
UACGUAGGGUGCGAGCGUUAAUCGGAAUUACUGGGCGUAAAGCGUGCGCAGGCGGUUUUGUAAGUCAGAUGUGAAAUCCCCGGGCUCAACCUGGGAAUGGCAUUUGGGACUGCAAGGCUGGAGUACGGCAGAGGAGACUGGAAUUCCUGGUGUAGCAGUGAAAUGCGUAGAGAUCAGGAGGAAUACCGAUGGCGAAGGCAGGUCUCUGGGCUGAUACUGACGCUCAUGCACGAAAGCGUGGGGAGCAAACAGG